GGAGGAUAUAGCUCAGUGGUAGAGUGUGUGCUUAGCAUGCACAAGGUCCUGGGUUCAAUCCCCAGUACCUCCA
rnacentral:tRNA from 1 species